rnacentral:miRNA from 1 species
UCAUUUUUUUCUCCAUUGUCCU